ensembl:lncRNA
GGGAGACAAAAAAGCAGGCAGCUUUCCUAUACCGUCCUAAGCUUGGAGUGGCUCCUUGUACACUCUCAACAAGUUACUGGAUGUCCCUUCGUCUCUUGUCCUCAUCUGUAAAAUGUAGAUAAUAACAGUACCUAUGAUGGGUUGCUGUGCUGAUUAAGUGAAGUAAAGCAUGCGAAGUACUUGUCACGGUGUCUGGGACCCAGUAAGUGCUCAGCUGACGUUAGCCGUUAUUCAUCAUCAUCACACAUUAGCAAUCUCUGGGCACAAAUUUUAUUUGGUGCCUAAAGGGCAAAUGUGUUUCCUAAUUAUAAUCUUUUGGUUGGAAAUUUAUCAGCUGAACGGUAAGUUGUUUGCAUCUGGUCAGUUGAUGAAUGUCAGUAUGCUAAAACAGGAGGAGCUUGUGAAACGAGAACUGAGUUAGAUUUUUAUUGUGAUACUAGUACAUAUGGGUGUGGAAGGGCAGUGGAAAAAAAUCACAGGAAUAUAUUCUACCUUCUUGAGAUUUAAAACAAACAAUAACCAGCAUAUGUAAUUUAUGUAUUUAUUUAUUUUAAAAAUGAUCUCUAUUUAUUUAUUUAUUUUUUACAGAUUGGCCCCUAGGCUAGCAAAUGUUGCCAACCUUCCUUUUUUUUUUGUUUUAAAGAUUGGCACCUGGGCUAACAACUGUUGCCAAUCUUUUUUUUUUUUUUUUUCUGCUUUAUCUCCCCAAACCCCCCUGGUACAUAGUUGUAUAUCUUAGUUGUAGGUCCUUCUAGUUGUGGGAUGUGGGACGCUGCCUCAACGUGGCCUGAGGAGCAGUGCCAUGUCCGCGCCCAGGCUCUAAACCCUGGGCCGCCACAGCGGAGCACGCGAACUUAACCACUCGGCCACAGAGCCGGCCCGCACAUGUAAUUUAUAUUAUUUAAAGAUGAGUCCAUGCCUUCAGGUGUUCCCUUUCAUCUAUUCUGCUUACAGCUCUUGGGUGGUGUUAUUUUGAAGGGUUCAGACUUCUGGACUAGAUAGUUUAGUAAAUUAUCUGUUCUCUUUAGCAGAGAGGAGUUGAAUUUGAUACAUAUUAGUUUAAUAAAAUAUAGCUUAGGAUGGAAGUUCAACUGUCCUGUUAACAUAUGUGAAAGACAAUUGUGUGUACCCAGAUACGAUUGCACUACAGCCUCAUUAUGUUCAUAGAGCUACUGAGGAAAUAGGGAGGGAAAUGAGGAAGAAACUUUUACCAGAUGCCCAGAGCUGUGAAGAUCCUCAUUUCUUACUUCUAUAAAGCAAAAGAUCAGCCAAUAAAUAUCAGUGCCUGGCAUACUGCUUUUUUUUUUUUCAGUUUUCUGCUCUUUACUAUGUAAAUUGAAGCUAACGGCAAUUGUUUAUAGGCAGCUGUUGCCUUUAUUAUUUUUUCAUUACUUUUUUUCAUUGAGGUAAAAUUGACAUAUAACAUUAUAUUAGUUUCAGAUGUACAACAUAAUAAUUUGAUAUUUACAUACACUGCGAAGUGAUCACCACAAUAAGUCUAGUUACCAUCUGUCACCAUACAAAGUUACAACAAUUUAUUUUCCUUGUGAUGAGUACUUUUAAGAUUUACUCUCUUGGCAACUUUCAAAUGUGCAAUACAGUAUUAUUGACUAUGGUUGCCAUGCUGUACAUUAUAUCCCCAAGAUUUAUUUAUUUUAUAUCUGGAAGUUUGUACUUCUUGAUCCCCUUCACCUAUUUAUCCCAGCCCCCCGACCCCCACCCCCUUCCCCUCUGGCAUCCACCAAUCUGUUCUCUGUAUCUGUGAGUUUUGUUUUGUUUGUUCAUUUGUUUUCUUUUUUAGAUUCCACAUGUGAGUGAAAUCAUAUAGUAUUUGUCUUUCCCUGUCUGACUUAUUUCACUUAGCAUAAUGCCCUCAGUCCAUCUAUGUUGUCCCAAAUGGCAAGAAUUCAUUGUUUUUCAUGGCUGAGUAGUAUUCCAUUGUACAUGUUUACCACAUCUUCUUUUUCCAUUCAUCUAUCAAUGGACUCUUAGGUUGCUUCCAUAUCUUGGCUAUUGUAAAUAAUGCUGCAAUGAACAUAGGGGUGCAUGUAUAUUUUUGAAUUAGUGUUUUCAUAUUCUUGGGAUAAUUACCCAAAAGUGGAAUUGCCAGAUCAUAUGGUAGUUCUGUUUUUACUUUUUGAGGAAACUCUAUGCUGUUUUCCAUAGUGGCUGCACCAAUUUACAUUCCCACCAACUAUAGAUGAGGGUUCCCUUUUCUCUACCUCUUCGCCAACACUUAAUUAUUUCUUGUCUUUUUGAUAAUAGCCAUCCUCAGAGGUAUGAGAUGUCUCAUUGUGGUUUUGAUUUGCAUUUCCCCAAGGAUUCGUGAUGUUGACCAUCGGCAUUGUGCUUUUUACACAUGGUCGGCUCCUAAUUACUUCCUGGCUGAAUGAGUGAGUGAGUUUGAGGGCUAACUUAGGCAGGGACAGAUAUAAAUAUGCUUUUCAGGAAAAUAAUGACACUAUGGAUUUUAAGAGCAGGUUGCUUUUUUUCAAGAUCUUUCACUGACAUUACACCCUGUGAUCCUCACACCUAUUUAGUGAGUGGCCAGAUGGGUAUCUUCAACUCCAUUUUACAGAAAAGGCAACUGCAACCCAAUCACUUGCCCAAAGUCAUACUCCAAGAAAGUGGUGAGUCCCCAAAUCCUCAUGUGAUGUCUUGCCACCCCCCUAGAGCUGCUUUAUGAAAAUGAGACACCAACACUUGAAUUCUGAAGUUCCAACCCAACUUGAAAGAAGGCUUACAAAGCUCUUGGUGACUUCUCAUUCUAUCAGGUGUGGCCCAAAUCUUCUCUUCUAGCCAUAAGCCUCUUACCGCUCUCUCUUCAUGCCUGAGUCUCAGCCUCGCUGCCCAGCCUGAGUCUGGUUCUCACUCUGGGAAGCAGGGACAAGGACUCUUGGGCCCUGAGUUCUUGGCCUCAGCAUCAAGUCACCUUGCUAAUGGCUCUACCCUGACCCUGGUGGCCCUGUGUUUGAGGCCAGGUUUCUGUCCUAGGUAUGUCAUUGGGACCCCGAUUUUUAGCAAUUGGGUUCAUCUCUUAUUAGUUACCCACCUUCUUUGUGGCUGGUCUCUGCUCCUGAUAUAUCGGCCUAUGUGGAUUGUGGUGUUUUCUGUGUUUCUCAGGACCUUGCCUCAAGUGCUCAGGAUCCCUUCUCCAGGGUCUGUGGACACGUCCCAUCUGUGGAGCAGAUGUGAAGGACCCCUGGCACUGACCAUGGCUCUGCUACUACUCUGGACUUUAUGGCUUGGUCUUCUUCAUAGCAUAGGGCUCCCACAGUUUUGGGAAAUCCUCCCUGCCUAUCUGAGCACAGGCCAGGCUGCCUGGCCCCAAUCACUCCAGCACAGAGCAACUUGGGCUAAAGUCAGCGCAUCUGAGGUCAGUCACCAGUGCCCUGCUGAGCUGUGUUGGAGCCUGAGGCAAAAGGAGAACUGUAGGCCCCUACACACACUUAUCAAAAUGUCCUCCCAAAUUUUGGAGAGUCUGCAAACAUGACUGUAUCUAAAGUCCUGAGUUGCUCAAUCUCUUGGCAUGCCACUGUGAACUCUCAUAAGCCUGCUGGCUGGGGACUUGACAUGCACGGCCUGGGAACAGUGGGCUGAUUGGAAAUGGCUGUCCCUAUUACACAAUAACACGGGGUCAUAAAAUCAACAGCCUGUCUUUAUUUAAAAUUUUGUUAUUUUGCUUACCAUAGAUUUUUGGGCAUUAAUUUUGAUUUUCAAAAUUUUUCAUUAAAAUAUUACUUAUUUUGGUCAGUGAUUUUUUUUUUGGCACUCCCUUAAAUUUUGUGCCUCAGGCAAGUGCCUCACUUGUUUCAUCCCAUCCCUAGCCCUGUCAGUCACUUCCAACUGGGCCUCUCCUCUGUGUGGUCCUUAACCAACAAAAAAGCUAAAUCUACCUUCUCCCAUGACCCCUCAUCUCUCCUCUCUUGUCCUCUGUGCACCUUUUCUAGCUUAUUGUUCUGUGCUGUCUCUGCCCUGGGUCCUCCCACAUUGGCCCUCCUUACCACUGCACGCUUUGCAAUGUUUGUUCCAUUGAUAGCAAACUCCUUGAUGUCUCAUGUAUUUUCAGACUCCUUUCUCCACCUCCUAACCCUCGGUAAAAUUUGGCUCAAUCCCUGAAGACACCCCUUCUGCGUUUCUCUUAGUCUCCUACCCAAGGACCGCUGGUGGAGGAGGAGCAGAAGGAGCUAGUGGCUUCCUCCUGGCUCCCCUCUGCCGUUUCUUGGUUAUAAUUCUCCACUCUCAUGUAAAGGAAUCUUCCUCUGAGACUCAGGAAUCCAGGCAGACCUCCCUCUCCUUCUCAGAGUCGCCCACUGGUAAGAUGGAGCUCAUCCCUCAUUCACUGAACACCUGGAGAUCAAGAUUACUCUUCCUGCUAAAGAGGCCUACCACAAUUGAGGGUAUUUUGGUGUCUUAUAGAUUUCCCCUUCCAAACUUGGUCUUUCAGUUCUUGAACUUCCCCUGACAUUCAUUUCCAAUCUUGUACAGCCACGUGCUUCUGGGGCCACAUCUUCAAUGGUACUAUCAUUAGAAAUAACUAGUAAAGUUUAACUUUAAUUUUCUAUUCUUUUGUCCCAACUUUCUGUCAUUUCCUCUUUUCCAUGGCCUCACUCCCACUUCACCUCCUUCUCCACAUCUUCACCACUUUCUCUGACCUUUGAUCGCUUUCUUCCGGUUUUCUCAGCCCUUGAGGCUUUCUUCAUUUCCUGCCUGGCCAUUUUAUGGUUAUUCACCUAAAGUACUCUACCAGUUCCUUUGCACCCUGACCCUUCUAUUACACUCACCAAUAGAAUUCAAACCCUAAAUUGAUCUGUCUCCCCUCUUCCUAUAGACUUAAGGCUAGAUAUUGCUGGAGAAAGACAUAAAAUGGUGCAGCCCUCUGCUCUAUCAUUAGCUUGGUCUUCUGCUUGGAUCCACUUCUAUGUAGUAAUGACCAAGGCAUUCCCAGGUCACCAGGGCAAGAAUUGAGGUCAGAUAUGAGUUUGUCUUGCAGAUUCCCAGGCCAUGUAACAGACCACGUGGUGUCCCCUGGAACAUGGCUGUGGGACAUGUGCUGUCUCAAAGCUGGUUCAGGGGAGUGAAUGCCCACAGGAUUUGCAUGCUGUAAAUUGCCUGUUACAAAGCUUUCAUAAGCACACUCACUUCAGCAUACUCCCCAUCACCACAGCCGCCCACAGCUCAUAGAAGCAGUGGGGUGCGGAGUAUCCAAGAGGACUCAGAGGGCUUGUAAAUUGUGCCUUUGCCACCAUUUGCAAGGUCUUAUCCUCAGGGGUCCCACUGGUGAUCUUUCUUUCUUCUGGGUUCUACAUAUUCUUUGGUGUUUAGCAUGUCGAAAAUUCCUCAGAUGGAUCUUGGGACCAAAGCAUCACUUUGAACCUUAUAAAUAUUUAAGUCUAAUAGACCAAAAUUUCAUAAAUCUUAAACCUCUCAGCUGGGAAUACCUAACUAUAUGCCAAUUAAAAAAGAGACUAGAACACAUCUAAGGCUAAAGGGGAAUGUUGGACAUCAUUAAAGAGUGAAUUACCAUCACAAACAUACCAUCUAAAGAAAACCAGACCAAGUUUGAAAUAAGUACUGACUGAGACCUGUGUCCCUUAAGCUGAGGGCCUAGUGUAAGUCACCCCUGUUUCCCCUAGGUAGCCACACCUUCACACUGUCUCUGAAUUGAGAUCCAGGAGAGUUGCCCUGGGGCCUGUCACAGCAAAAGGUAAGGGGACCCCUAAGCCUGGGUGGGGAAUCAUUUGGAAGAUGUGGAAGAGAUCUGGGGGGAUCUAUAGGUGCCAGUGAAGGCCAAGGUGAGGCUCAAGCCACCAGGGAUCCCCAUCCAGCCCUGACAGAGCUGAGGGCCAGCCUAGGAACUACUCCACUUGUAGACGUGGGAAUUGGUGACAUGCUGGUAAACUAGCUCUUCGGGGAAAGAAAGCCCAAUUCAUAGCGUUUGCUGAUUUCUGUGGCGUAAAUACUCCUACUAUGACUGAUUGCAAGUAGCAACAUGAUGUUAUUGAACAGAGUUGAGAAAAGAUGUGUGCAUUCAGUUCUUGAUAGCUGAUGUGAGCUGACUCCACCACACCAUUAUCACUGGGGCAAGCAGUGACUGGAGGGACAAGGUAUCCCAUCACCACAGAAGCCAGGCAGAACCUGGAAGCAGCAAAAGGAUCCAGAGGCUGUUCUAACACCUUCUUUCCCUGCCACUGUGAAGUUACAUCAUCCACAGUUAAAUGAAGCCUACAUUUUCUCUGUAUGUCUGAGUUGAACUGAGAGUAAAUUUGGGGCCCUCCUACAUAUAGGAUAAAGUCGAAGCUUAUUUAUAUGGCAUUUGGGGCUAAAUGAUCGCCUCCUGCCUUAGUUUCCAGAUUCAUUUAUUAUCCUUUCCAAUGUUAUUAUUUUUUUUUUGCCUGUCCAACUCCUAUGCAUUUUAAAAGACUUAACUCAGACAUCAAAAAGCCUUCUCUGAAUUCUUCAGAGUUCAGUCCUGUCUAGUAGAACUUUCUCCAAUAGUGGAAGUAUUCUGUAUUUACACUGUUUCGUAUGGUAGCCAUUAGACACAUGUGGCUACCUGAGUCCUGAAUACUUGAAAUGUGGCUAGUGUGAUGAACGAACUGAAUUUUAAAUUUUAAUUAAUUUAAAUUUAAAUAGCCCCAUGUGGGUAAUGGCUACCAUAUUGGAUAUUGCAGCUCUAGAUUGAGGUGAGUGCCCCCCUUUUUUUUUUAUUGAGUUAAUGAUAAGUUACAAUCUUGCGAAAUUUCAGUUGUACAUUAAUGUUUGUCAUUUGUGUUGCAGGUGCACAACUUCACCCUUUGUGCCCACCCCCACCCCACCUUUGCCCUGGUAUCCACUAAACUGUUCUCUUAGUCCACAUUUUUAAAUUCCUCAUAUGAGUGGAGUCAUACACAUAUUAUCCUUCUCUAGCUGGCUUAUUUCACUUAACAUAAUUCCCUCAAGGUCCAUCUAUGUUAUUGCAAAUGGAAUGAUUUUGUUCUGUUUUGCAGCUGAGUAGUAUUCUAUUGUAUAUAUGUACCACAUCUUCUUUAUCCAUUCGUCUGUUGAUGGGCACUUAGGUUGCUUCCAUGUCUCGGCUAUUGUAAAUAAUGCUGCAAUGAACAUUGGGGUACAUAGGACUUUUGGGAUUGCUGACUUCAAGCUCUUUGAUAAAUACCCAGUAGUGGGAUGGCUGGAUCAUAUGAUAGUUCUAUUUUUAAUUUUUUGAGGAAUCUCCAUACUGUUUUCCACAGUGGCUGCACCAGUUUGCGUUCCCACCAGCAGUGUAUGAGGGUUCCUUUUUCUCCACAACCUCUCCAACAUUUGUUACUAUUAGUUUUAGAUAUUUUUGUCAUUCUAAUGGGUGUAAGGUGAUAUCUUAGUGUAGUUUUGAUUUGCAUUUCCCUGAUGAUCAGUGAGCAUCUUUUCCUGUGCCUAUUGGCCAUCCAUAUACCUUCUUUGGAGAAAUGUCUGUUCAUGUCUCCAGCCCAUUUUUUGAUCAGGUUGUUUGAUUUUUUGUUGUUGAGUUGUGAGAGUUCUUUAUAUAUUAUGGAUAUUAAGCCUUUGUCAGAUAUAUGACUUGCAAAUAUUUUUUCCUAGUUAGUGGGUUGUUUUUUUGUUUCAAUCCUGUUUUCAUUUGCCUUGAAGAAGCUCUUUAGUCUGAUGAAGUCCCACUUGUUCAUUCUUUCUAUUGUUUCCCUUCUCUGAGAAGACAUGGUGUCCGAAAAGAUCCUUUUAAUACUGAUGUCAAAGAGUGUACUGCCUACGUUUUCUUCUAGAAGCCUUAUGGUUUCAGGUCUCACCUUUAGGUCUUUGAUCCAUUUUGAGUUUAUUUUGGUGAAUGGUGAGAAAGAAUGGUCAAUUUUCAUUUUUUUACAUGUGGCUUUCCAGUUUUCCCAGCACCAUUUGUUGAAAAGACUUUCUUUUCUCCAUCGUAUGCCCUCAGUUCCUUUGUCGAAGAUAAGCUGUCCAGAGAUGUGUGGUUUUAUUUCUGGGCUUUCAAUUCUGUUCCAUUGAUCUGUGCAUCUGUUUUUGUACCAGUACCAUGCUGUUUUGAUUACUGUAGCUUUGUAGUAUGUUUUGAAGUCAGGGAUUGUGAGCCUCCUGUUUUGUUCUUUUUUCUCAGGAUUGCUUUAGCAAUUCAGGGUCUUUUGUUGCCCCAUAUGAAUUUUAGGAUUCUUUGUUCUAAUUCUGUAAAGAAUGUCAUAGGGAUUCUGAUUGGAAUGGCGUUGAAUCUGUAGAUUGCUUUAGGUAGAACAGACAUUUUAACUAUGUUUAUACUUCCAAUCCAUGUACAUGGAAUGUCUUUCCAUCUCCUUAUGUCGUCAUCCAAUUCUCUCAGAAAGGCCUUGUAAUUUUCAUUAUAUAGGUCCUUCACUUCCUUAGUUAAAUUUGCCCCAAGGUAUUUUAUUCUUUUUGUUGCAAUUGUGAAUGGUAUUGUGUUCUUGAGUUCUUUUUCUGUUAGUUCGUUAUUAGAGUAUAGAAAUUCUACUGAUUUAUGCAAAUUGGUUUUGUACCCUGCAACUUUGCUGUACUUGUUGAUUACUUCUAAGAGUUUUCCAAUGGAUUCUUUGGGGUUUUCUAUAUAUAAGAUCAUGUCGUCUGCAAACAGUGAGAGUUUCACUUCUUCCCUCCCUAUUUGGAUUCCUUUUGUUCCUUUUUCUUGCCUGAUUGCUCUGGCCAGGACCUCCAGUACUGUGUUAAAUAAGAGUGGUGAUAGAGGGCAUCCUUGUCUCGUUCCUGUUUUCAGGGGGAUGGCGCUCAGCUUUUGCCCAUUGAGUAUGAUGUUGGCUAUGGGUUUGUCGUAUAUGGCCUUUAUUAUGAUGAGGUAGUUUCCUUCUAUGCCCAUUUUGUUCAGAGUUUUUAUCAUAAAUGGCUGUUGGAUCUUAUCAAAUGCCUUCUCUGCAUCUAUUGAGAUGAUCAUGUGGUUUUUAUUCCUCAGUUUGUUGAGGCGGUGUAUCACGUUGAUUGAUUUGCAGAUGUUGAACCAUCCCUGUGUCCCUGGUAUGAAUCCCACUUGAUCAUGAUAUAUGAUCCUUUUGAUGAGUUGCUGAAUUCUGGUUGCCAAAAUUUUGUUUAGAAUUUUUGCAUCUAUGUUCAUCAGUGAUAUUGGCCUGUAGUUCUCUUUUUCUGUGUGUCCUUGUCAGGCUUUGGUAUCAGCGUGAUGUUGGCCUCAUAGAAUGUGUUAGGAAGUGUUCCAUCUUCCCUAACUUUUUGGAAUAGCUUGAAAAGGAUAGGUAUUAAAUCCUCUCUGAAAGUUUGGUAGAAUUCCUCAGGAAAGCCGUCUGGUCCUGGGGUUUUAUUCUUUGGGAUGUUUUUGAUUGCUGUUUCAAUCUCUUUUCUUGUGAUUGGUCUGUUCAAAUUGUCUGCCUCUUCUUGAGUGAGCUUUGGGAGAUUGUAGGAGUCCAAGAAUUUAUCCAUUUCCUCUAGGUUAUCCAUUCUGUUGGCAUAUAGAUUUUAGUAGUAUUCUCUUAUAAUCUGUUGUAUUUCUGCAGAGUCUGUUGUUAUUUCUCCUCUUUCAUUUCUGAUUUUGUUUAUUUGAGCUUUCUCCCUUUUUUUCUUUGUAAGUCUGGCUAGGGGUUUGUCAAUUUUAUUUAUCUUCUCAAAAAACCAGCUCUUUGUUUCGUUGAUCCUUUCUACUGCCUUUUUUGUUCCAAUAGUAUUUAUUUCUGCUCUGAUUUUUAUUAUUUCUCUCCUUCUGCUGACUUUGGGCUUUAUUUGUUCUUUUUUCUCUAGUUCUGUUAGGUGUAGUUUAAGAUUGCUUAUUUGGGGUUUUUCUUGUUUGUAAAGAUGUGCCUGUAUUGCGAUGAAUUUUCCUCUUAAUACAGCUUUUGCUGUAUCCCAUAUGAGUUGGUAUGGCAUGUUAUCAUGUUCAUUUGUCUCCAGGUAUUUUUUUGAUUUCUUCUUUAAUUUCUUCAAUAAUCCAUUGCUUGUUCAGUAGUGUGUUGUUUAGUCUCCACAUCUUUGUGCCUUUCUCAGCUUUUUUCUUGUAAUUAAUUUCUAGCCUUAUAGCAUUAUGAUCGGAGAAGAUGCUUGUUAUUAUUUCAAUUUUUUUUAAAUUUGUAGAGGCUUGCCUUGUUUCCCAACAUAUGGUCUAUCCUUGAGAAUGUUCCAUGUGCGCUUGAGAAGAAUGUGUAUUCAGCUGUUUUAGGAUGAAGUGAUCUAUAUAUGUCUAUUAAGUCCAAUUGUUUUAGUUUUUCAUUUAGCUCCACUGUUUCCUUGUUGAUUUUCUGUCUGGAUGAUCUGUCAAUUGAUGUGAGUGGGGUGUUGAGGUCUCUUACUAUUAUUGUGUUGUUUUUAACACCUUCCUUUAGGUCUGGUAAUAGUUGCUUUAUGAAUCUUGGUGCUCCUGUGUUGGGUGCAUAGAUGUUUAUAAGCAUUAUUUCUUCUUGAUGAAGUGUCCCUUUGAUCAUUAUAUAUUGUCCCUCUGUGUCUCUCUUUACCUGUCUUAUUUUGAAAUCCACUUUGUCUGAUAUAAGAAUUGCAACACCUGCCUUUUUUUGCUUGCUAUUAGCUUGAAGAAUUGUCCUCCACCCCUUCACUCUGAGCCUGUGUUUGUCCUUGGGGCUGAGGUGUGUUUUCUGGAGGCAACAAAUUGUUGGAUCUUGUUCUUUAAUCCAUUUUGCCACUCUGUGUCUUUUUAUUGGAGAGUUCAAUCUGUUUACAUUAUUUAUGCAUGUGGACUUAAUGCUGUCGAUCUGUCACUCAUUAUCUUGUUUUCCUGCGUUUCUUUUCCUGUGUGCUUUAGCCUACCCAUUUAAUACUGCAAUUUCUUAUGCUGGGUUUCUUAGAUUUUUCCUUAUUUAUGAUUUGUGACUCUGUUCUGUAUUUUAUUUUAGUGUCUACCCUGAAGUUUGUAUUUAGAAUCUCAUGUAUAAUAUAGUCUAUUCUCUGGUGGUCUCUUACUUACUUGGCCUAUAUUGAUUUAGACCCUUUGCUCUUCCCCUCCUAAAUAAUAAUUUUCAUUUCUCAUUCCAACUCACAUUAUGAAUUUGUAGUUAGAGUGAUAAGAUCGUCCUUGCUUUGGUAGUUUCCUUACUUUUACCCUAAUGCUAUAGUUGAAUAUUUGCUAUCCUGUUCUGGUUCUAUCCAUCAGUCUCCCUAGUCUGUAGUUUGUGACCCCUUUCUCCCUUUUUCCUUUUUUCAGGUAUGAGAGCUUUCUUGAGGAUUUCUUGUAGUGGAGGGCUUUUAGUUACAAAUUCCGUUAACUUUUGUUUGUCUGGAAAAGAUUUAAUUUUUCCCUCAUAUUUGAAGGAAAUUCUUGGUGGAUAGAGUAUUCUUGGCUGAAGAUUUUUAUCUUUUAAAGCUUUGAAUAUGUCACUCCAUUCUCUCCUAGCUUGUAAGGUUUCUGUAGAGAAAUCCACUGAAAGUCUGAUAGGAGCUCCUUUGUAGGUUAUUCUCUUGUUUUUUCUUGCUUCCCUGAGUAUUCUUUCUUUAUCUUCCCUUCUUGCCAUUUGUACUACUAUGUGCCUUGCAGUAGGUCUUUUUACAUUGACAAAUCUAGGAGAUCUGAAAGCUUCCUGUACACACAUUUCUACCUCAAUUCCUAGAUUUGGGAAGUUCUCUUCUAUAAUUUCAUUAAGCACACUUUCUGCUCCAUUUUCCUUUUCCACGUUCUCAGGAAUUCCUAUGAUCCCUAAGUUCUUACUGCUCACUGAAUCGACUAUCUCUCGGAGAUGUUCCUCGUUUUUUUAAAUUCUUAAUUCUCUUUCUCCCUCUGUCUGGAGCCAUUCAGUCUGACUAUCUUCAAUUAUGUUAAUUUGCUCUUCUAUGGUGUCUACACAGGCAUUCAGGGAAUCCGUAUUCUGUUUUAUCUGGUCCAUUGUGUUUUUCAUCUCUAGUAAUUCUACUUGAUUCUUCUUUAUAAUUCCAAUCUCUUUUGUGAAGUACCUCCAGAGCUCAUUGGCUUGUUUCUCUAACUUUCUCUCUAUCUCAUUGGGUUUUUUGAUUAUAGCUGCUCUGAACUCAUUAUCACUUAGUUUACCUAAUUCCAAGUCCUCAGGACUUAAUUCUAUGUUUUUUUAUUGUUUUACUUCUGGGCUGGGGUUUUAUAAAUUGCUGGACGGUAGAGGAGCGGUUUUUUUGCAUGGUGGUAGAAUUCGGUUGCAGUUACAGCCUGUCGCCACUAGAUGGGGGUCUAGAGCCGCGUGUUAUGAGCUCUCCGCCUUUGGGCAAGAUGGCGGCGCCCAGUGCGCUUUUCCGUGAGGGAGGGGCUGCUAUUCUUGUGUGCCGAUCUGGAUUUGGAUCAGUUCUGUUCUCUGGUCUCCCGAGGCCCUGGGUUUAUGGGGUCCCCACGCACAGAAGCUUUCCCCCGUCAGCGGGUUUCCACUGAACCAGUGGCGGGAGUCCUGGAUGAUCCCCUGGUCGCACGGCCCCUCCCCCGCUCCUUCCCAGAUCCACGCAGCAGGGAUCGCAGACUCUAGGGGAGGGAGCGGCAUUCUCUCCUACCCGUUCCAGCUCCUCCAAGGCUGUCAGCAAGGUCUAUGUUCUCCGCCUUCUUGAUAUUGUAGGUCUCUAACGUGUUGGUGUUAGAUUUAUUCUCUGAAAUUCAGUUUUUCCAAUACUUUGUGGUAUUUUGGAGGGGAGAGAAUCCCAGGUCAGCUCACCCUGCCAUUUUGCUCCGCCCCCUCGAGUGCCCCUUUUUAUGCUCAUAAAAUAUAUUUUGUGUUCUCUAACUUUGCAUUUACCUUAUUAUGUUACAUUUGCUGCUUUUCUUUGCCUGUCUCCCCUACUGGGUGUUGCUCUCACUGUGGGAAAGGAAUGUACUUGCCACAUGGUGGACCCUCAGUAAACGUCUGUUGAAUGAGUGAAUACUGCUGCAUCUUCCCAACACCAGCAUCUCCCUCUUGGCUCAGCUGCUUGAUUGCGCCUUUACUCUCAGGCCACAGAUUAGACCUGACUCUCUUCUAAGACUCACUUCAUUCCUGUUUAAUUUCCGCCAUGUAGUUGGCUUUCCUGGAAUAGCAAUUCAGUUACCAUUUGCCCUACCUCUACCUAAAUAGGCAUUUAAAGCUCUACUUGGAUCAUUACUUACAGUAGCCAUCUAUCCAUCUCUGGACUGAUACGUUGGUCUCCUUUAUCUUCAGGGUCCAUGCUUCUUUAUGCUGGCCCUUACAGUUAUACCCCAUGACUUCAUGUAUAUACAGCCCUCUCUUAACAUGUAUCAGGAGUUUACCUACAUUUGGUCUGAGUCUUGCCCUCUCUCCAUCAUUUCCAACCUGCCACCUCUGAAGCAUUGGUUUUAACUCACUGGUUCACAAGAUACUGUAUACACAUUUUCUUUUACCAUCAUUGUCAUUACUCUCAAUAUAGGUAUGCCCAUUCAAGAGGUUCCCCCAGGCUCUUUCAGACUUGAUUCUGUAAUUAGCGUAAGCCUCUCUUGUACCCUGGUCAUUUUACCUAACUAUAAGAUUUAAAAUAAGCCAGGCAAUUAGCUGAGUGGAAAUUAAUAUGUAUUAUUUAUUCUUUGUUCUUUUCAAAAAUAAAAAUGUGUUUAACAAAUAUCCAAACUGAAUAUUAAAUAACAUUUUAUAUAGAUGAUCAUAUAAUUUUCUCUUUUAUUCUGUUCAUGGGUGAAUUAUGCUGAUUGACUUUCAUGUAUUCUUGGACUAAACUCAACUUCAGGGUGAUAUAUAUUAUCCUCUUAUAGCUAGACUUAGUUGGCUAAUAUUUUGCUUUGGAUUUUUGUAUCUAUGUUCAUAAGAGAGAUUGGUCUGCAACUUUUCUUUCUUGUAGUAUUGUUGUCCAGUUUUGGUAUCAUGGUAAUGAAGGCCUGACAAAAUGCUUUUGGAGUAUAAAUACUCCAGCUCUCUUGCUGCUUGAGUCAGAUAACAGACACGAGGUAUUCCAGAUUUCCCCUGUGGACGCAAGCUGCACAUACUUGCAGUGGCAACUCUUUUUUGACUGCCUUCCCUUCCUGUCUCACUUCCCCACUUUCCUACUAAUAUUUCCUGGAAUCACCUCCUUAUACUCAAAUCCUUCUCUUGGAAUCUGCUCUGGGGGGAACGUAAACUAAGACAGGAUCAUAGGCUCUCAAUUCCCUACUGUUUGGGCAGCUUUUGGAUGCCUUCAAGCAGAUGUGUGUUUUAUUUUAUCCAACUUUCCUAGCUGUUCUUGGUGAGAGAGUUGGUUGGGUAUAAUCUAGUCCAUCAGGGCUAAAAGAAGAAAUGCUUAAUGAUAUUCUAUUUAAACAUCAUAUAUCUAGCAUAAAAAAAUGAACCACCUAUGUACAAUUUGGAAACUUUCCUAAUAGUUGGAUUCAAUCUUUAAUAUGUAUGAGCUCUGAUUUGAAGUAACCCUGGUAACAUAGCCAGUCUCAAUCUUUGUAAUUCACUCUGAAGGCUUAUCUUGGAGUCAGAUCCCUCCUGAGGAAGGUUCACACGUCUGGGACUUCAGGUUUCUGAGACACCCGCUGUCCUGGUUACUUUCCUUCUUCAUUGAUCAGUAAGUCUCCAUUUCAUUUGCGGACUCCUCCUCUUCUAGCUAACCUUUAAAGCUAAGAGUGCCCAGGGUUAGUUCUCAUUCCUCUGCUCUAUCUACAUCCUCUUGCUAGGUGGGGUCCUCCAGUUCAUGGCUUUAUAUACCAUUUAUAAGCUUAUGGCCUUCAAAUUUUGGUUGCCAGCCUAGACCUCCCUUGCUGGUCUUCAAACUUGUAUAUCCACAUUUUGAAUUAACUUCUCCUCUUGGAUAUCUAAUAUCUAAGCAAACUUAGCAUGACAAAUAUAGGACUAUUGAUUUCCCCCUUACUCCCAAACCAUCCUCCACACACCCUCCCUCAUUUGAGUUAGAAGUGCCAUCAUCUACCAUUUUCAGUUUAGUAGCUCUGGCUAAAAACUCUGGAGUCCUCCUUGAAUCUUCUUUUUUCCUUACAAUUCACAGACAGUCCAUCAGUAUUCUUGUCUUUGCCUCUAAAAUAUAUCCUAAAUCUGACAAUUUUUCACUCUUCCCAAGGUUGCAAGCUUGGUUCAAGACACUGGACUAUCGCAACAGCCUCCUAACUAGUCUUCUGGGCUUCACUCUUCACUCUACAUAGCAGGCAGAGCGUAAGUUAGAAAAUCUCACUCAUCUACUUAAAGCACUCCCGUGGCUUCCCAUAGCAACCAGGAUAAAAUCCAAACUCUUUAUUAUGAUCUACAAGGGCCAGCAUAAUCUGGCCUUUAACAAACCCCUGGACCUCAUCUCAUCCUUCCCCUCCUGUUCACACUGCUUGUGUUAGUUUUCUAUUGCUGCUGUAACAAAUUGCCAUGAACUUUAGUGGCCUAAACAACACAAAUCUAUUCUCUUACAGUUCUCCAGGUCAGAAGUCCUAAAAUCAGGGUGUUGGUAGGGCUGUGUUCUUUCUGGAAGCUCCAGGUAAGAGCCCAUUUCUUUGUCUUUUCUAGAUUUCAGAGGCCAUCUAUAAUCCUUGGCUUGUGAUUCCAUCUUCCAUCUUCAAAGCAAGCAGUGUAGCAACUUCCAUUCUCUCUCUCUGACCUUCCUGCUUCCCUCUUAUCAGGACCUUUGUGAUUACAUUGGGCCCAGCUGAUAAUUCAGGAUAAUCUCCCUAUCGCAAGAUCCUUAAACUAGUCACAUCUGAAGUCCCUGUUGCCGUUAAGGUAACAUAUUCACAAAUCCCAGGGAUUAGUAUGUGGACACCUUUAGGGGGUGGAUUAUUCUUUAUUCAGCCUACCACACCAUUCUGGUCCCACUGGCCUUCGUCCUCAAUCCCACCUAAUUUAUUCCCAUCUCAGAGCCUUUGCCCUUGUUGAUCCUUCUGCUUAGACUGUCCUCCCCAGUUGGCUGAAUCCAGCUCAAAUGCUACUCCUUAGAGGGGCCUUCCCUGAACAUCUCAGAUAAAGAAGGUUCUUCCCCUACCAGCCUUUCUUAUAUUGCUCUAGCUUAUGUUCUCCGUAGCUUUUAUUUGUUCCUGAAAAUAUCUGAUUCAUUGUUAGAGGGGAACAUUUUCUCCCCACUCCUCUGAUUUCCAUGAGGAGGGCAUUUUCCUUGACACUCCUCGCCUUUUGCUCCACCCCUUUCUCCUCCCUACAUGUGGGAAGUGGGUUAUCUGAGGAGUGAGUGUGAGGAGAAACUGGACAUGAGUACAGAGACCCUUCUCCUUCUCUUUUGAGAUCUGCCUGCCUGCAGAGAGCACUUGUUCCCAAUUGUUUUCAGCCAUAUAUAAACAGUAAAGGCCCAGUGGUAUGGGGAGACCUGCCUGUGGCGAUCCAGCAUCUUGGAUGACUUGAGUGGAUGAAUCCCCAGGGGAAGUGGGGGUUGAAAGCUCACUUGGCUCCCACAUUUAAAGCCAGACUCUCUGUGUCAGCUUUGUCAGUCUUAAAGGUGAUGUUUGGUCUCUACCUGCAGAUUCUAUCAUCUUAUUUCUUAAUUGGUUCAGAACCUGGACAGGGAAAUGGGAUGCCAUUUGUUGGCAUCUCCCUCAAUGCACCCCCGAUUUUGUAUUUGAGUUUUUGAUGCUUCUUUUCCCUUCUGAAAGUGAGUCCUCGAGGGAUGGAAGGGUAUUGGCCUUUCCUCUGCCUAGGAUAUCCCCACCACCUCAGAGAGUGCUUGGCACAAAGAAUGUACUCAAUAAAUCUUUAUUUAGCAGGUAAGUUUCAUGUUAAAAUACAAUAGACACUGACUUUUGGUUGUGAAUUCAUUGCAGAUUUACUGUUAAUAGGUCAAAUUAACUAAGGGCAAAGGCAAUCUUUUGUCUGAAGUUGCCCCUAUUAACUUACAACUUAUUUAAAGAUAUAAUAAUGCUUUCCAUGGAGUGUAUCUUUAAAACAAACCUUUAGACAUUAGUAAGUCUUUUUUUACAAAACAGGGUGUUAGGUGAUGUUUUCUCCCACACAACUCGUGUUAACUUGACAGCUUCCACAAUUAGCACUAACAUUGUAAUUUACUUAUUAAGCCUGAGUACAAAAUUUAAGAUUUCUACCAUUAUGGCAUUUUGUGUAGCCUGGAAUGUAAAAUAGUACAUGUGAUAUUUCAAGAUUUUUGGAUAUUUGACAACCAAUUAUUUAGCAGACAUCCUGCAACUACUGUAUGCGACACGUUGUGCUGGACAUGGGCUUACAGAGAUGAAUAAUGUACACCCUCAACCAGCAAGCUAGUGGGAGAUAGAACUAUGAGAUAAUAUUAGAGCUUUCUAUGUGCCAGCCCCUUUAUUGGGGCCAGCCCCUUAGCUGAGUGGUUAAGUUUGAGUGCUCUGCUUUUGUGGCCCAGGGUUUCACCGGUUUGGAUCCUGGGCAUGGACGUGGCACCACUCAUCAAACCAGGCUGAGGCAGCAUCACACAUAGCACAAGCAGAAGGACCUACAACUAGCAUAUACAACUAUGUCCUGGGG